AUUGAACGCUGGCGGCAUGCCUUACACAUGCAAGUCGAACGGCAGCACGGGAGCAAUCCUGGUGGCGAGUGGCGAACGGGUGAGUAAUAUAUCGGAACGUGCCCAGUCUGGGGAUAACGUAGCGAAAGCUACGCUAAUACCGCAUACGAUCUAUGGAUGAAAGCGGGGGAUCGCAAGACCUCGCGCGAUUGGAGCGGCCGAUAUCAGAUUAGGUAGUUGGUGAGGUAAAGGCUCACCAAGCCGACGAUCUGUAGCUGGUCUGAGAGGACGACCAGCCACACUGGGACUGAGACACGGCCCAGACUCCUACGGGAGGCAGCAGUGGGGAAUUUUGGACAAUGGGCGCAAGCCUGAUCCAGCAAUGCCGCGUGCAGGAUGAAGGCCUUCGGUCGGUAAACUAGCUCUUGUUACGGAACGAACGGUAGAGCUCUAAUACAGUU
rnacentral:rRNA from 1 species